rnacentral:misc_RNA from 1 species
UCUCCGUUGGUGAACCAGCGGAGGGAUCAUUACCGAGUUUACAACUCCCAAACCCCAUGUGAACCUUACCAAACGUUGCUUCGGCGGGAUGCCCCGGGCGCGGGCCGCAAGGCCUCAGCCCCGGAACCAGGCGCCCGCCGGAGGCCCAAACCAAACUCUUGUUUCUGUAGAAUCUUCUGAGUGGCCUUUUAGGCAAAAAAUGAAUCAAAACUUUCGACAACGGAUCUCUUGGUUCUG